GACAGUCCUACAGACAGUAGUUUGUAAGUUGAAAAUUUUAAAGAUGUUAUGUAAUAUUAUCUGUAUGUAGAUAUCCGAAAGGUUUGUUAGUUUUACUUCUUUUGAAAAUUAAUACUUUUGAAAAUUUGUGCCUUUGCACUCAAUGAUCAUAUAAUUAUAAAAUCAAAAUUAUUCUUGAAAAUAUAAGGUCAAAUUAGAAUAGAGGAUGUAUAAAAUUUAAACAUGUUUAUGUACUAUUGCAUAGAUCGAUAUUUACUGAGUUCUAAUUAUUCUUUACUUUGAUUGUUUUAUAGUUUUAUUUUUGUUGGAAAAAGGGGUUAGUGUUGGGUGUGUUCAAGAAAAAAAUAUUGUUUAAAAAAAAUAAUACAUAAUUUACGCAGGGUUUUUAAGAGAAAUAUGAUAAACAUUAAGGUCCAGCUCUCAGCUUACAGAGGAAGAUAAUGCUAUGUUGCAAAACAAAGUGUAUCAUGUUGCUAUUACAAACAAAUUCUAAUCUUCUAUCUCAUAUUUUUUCUUUUCCUACUGACUGUAUAUUUUUGUCAAAAUAUAUUAAAAUUUGUUCACAUUAUCAUUUUGUUUCGGAAAUCAAUUUUCUUUUACACAUCCAACACACACUACUUAAAACUUUUUAAGGGCUCACAUGGAAUAAUAUAUGUGUUGUUAAUCAAUGUGUCGGAUUUUUUUCAAAACAAAUGGAUAUAGACAAAGAAAACAAUCAUAUAUGAUUCCAUACUGCGCAUGCUUUCGUUUUUAUAUUUAUUAAAUGAUUUUUGCGAGUUUAAGGUCAUUAUAACAAAUGGACAAAAAUUGCUGUGUUUAGAGUAAAAAAACUACCCGAGUACAGACAACAUUCAUCUUCUUUGGUGGUCCAUGCAUACUCAUUUAAUAAAAAAUAUACCGAACAUUUUAUCCCAUUUACGGAUUAGUAUUAAAAGUAUUGCAUUUCAGUGAAGAAAAAUAAUAAAUGUUCAAAUAAGGCCUUCGAAAUAGUGGAAUUAAUUACUUUUUGGAGUGUCAAGAGUCGUUGGAAGUACUUUGAUAAAUUGCAUGCUUAUAUUGGUGAUUUUGAAUUGUUCAAAGUUUUGAUUUUCUACCUGUAUAUCCACAUUGCCUCAAUUCUCAUUAAGAAAAAAAAUCACACAUCUAAUUAAAUGGGCAUUUAAAAAGUCAGAAUGUGAAUAUAUAUGUUUAAAACUCUUUUAGGUCAUUUUUUAGUACAAUAAACAAAAAAACUAUGUCAAUUGGAUCUAUAUGUGACCAGCUACGACAUAUCCAGGUUAUGGAGGUAGAACGUCAUUGUGAGAAAAACGCCGUUAACUAUAUGUGACUAGCCACUUCCAGGCUUAGGAGGGUACAUUGUCUAAAAUUUGCUUUUUGUAUAUUUUUAUGUAGAAUAUUCCGAAACAAAACUUUCUUGUAUUGUUAUUAUGACAUAUUUGUUGUAAUAGCAAUGAAAGAGUCAUUUCGAAUAUCGGUAUGAAAAUGAGACUGUUCUAUGACGGCUUUAUUUUAUUGAAGGCACUAAUUUAUUAAAAUACAAAAUUAUUGUAUUUAUUGGCUCUUAGUAAUGUUCAAUAGCAUAUUUGAAUAAAAUUUCAAAGACUUAAAUUUACUACAAUACAAACAAUGCUUAGCUCUAUUUUAGAAGAUGUAAUUUAAACGUUGCUGAAAUGAAGUUAGUUUUAAAAUUUGUCAAAGUAAGCUUUAAAGAAUUUUCUUUUUUUAAAAUUCGUCUUUUAAUUUAGAUUUAUCAUGCAUGUCUCAAACAUAGAUAUGCGAGGCGUAACAGUUUAUAAGUAGGUGUUCUAUAAUGCAUUUGAUACGGUGCAUUUAUUAUGGAUAUAUUUCAGACUCGAUUUAUGAAAGAAAUUUAUAAAGCAGAGCAAUUUUUUUGUUGCUUUAAUUUUAGAACAAUGUAAUUUAAACUUGUUUGAAAUGAAGUUAGUUUAAAAUUUUGUCAAAGUAAGCUUUAAGAAUUCCUUUUUUAAUUUAGAUUUAUUAUGCAUGUCUCUAUACUUAGUAUGCGACGCGUAACAGUUUUAAGUAGGUGUUAUUAGGGAUAUAUUUCAGAUUUAAUUCAUGAAGGAAAUCUAUGAGGCAGAAAAUUUGAUUUUUUUUUGUAUCAAUUGAAAAAUGUAGAUUCAAAUAUUUUUCACUUCAAACGAUAAAGUAAAACUUCUUCAAAUUCUAUAUAUGAUGUAAAGUUCGGCGUCAGCUAAAAAGAAGCCAAGGAAAGUGUUUAUCUCUUCUUCACAAAUACGUAUUUCAUUGAAACUUCGAUAUUAUCAUGUUUAUAAUUUUUCUAACAAUGACGUUCUACCUCCAUAAGCCUGCAAAUGUCAUGGCGGGUCACAUAUAUGUGCCCUUGAAUUUUUACUAGAUAACAUUUUUGUUUCGCCUUUGGGGAUUCGUAUAUCGUCAGAUUAUCGGAUUCCAAUGGGACUUGAACUGUGCACCACUUAUUGCGGACCUGUUUUUGUAUUGCUAUAUGAGUUACAAUUUAUGACAAAAAAAGCGAAGACCCAUCCGAACAACAUCUGAUAAACAAAUUUAAUAAUACUUUUUAGAUUUUGAAUGAUUAUUUUGGCUCUCAAUAUGACGACUUCAGUUGUAUAUUAAAGAAUUUAUCCUGUUGAAUUACUUUAAAUAAGCUAAUACUAACAAUGACCACUGCCCUUUCCUCGAUCUUGAUAUCUAUAUCAUUAACGAAAGCUGAAUACUAAAAUUUAUGAUAAAGAGAUGAUUUUUCAUUUUCCUAUCGUUAAUUACGUUUUAAAGAUCGUGACGUUCCCUUGUCACCAUCUUACGGUGUUUAUAUAUCUCAACUUGUACGAUUCGCUCGUGUAUGUAACAAUGUUUUAGAUUUUAACGAGAGAAAUUUAUGUAUUACUGAAAAAUUAUUACACCAGGGUUUUCGAUAUCACAAACUAGUCAAACAUUUACUAAAUUUUAUCAUCGGAAUAAUGGCCAUCAUUCGUAAAUAUAGCUCAACAUGCAGACUUCUUAUACGUUCAGGUAUUUCAGCAUCCAAUUUUUUAUGGAAAUAUUCUUUAUAAAGCACAAGGUGUCAGUAUUCACCUAAAAACUACAAAACCGUUUGAAUAGACUUAUUAAGAGGGAUAUAGUUACGAUACUUGUGUCAGGUCAUUAAAGGUUGCUUUUUUGCGUUAUAUUGAUUCACUUAUAGGUCCUUUGCAUCUGAACUAACACAUUUAUUCAACACCAGUUGUUGGCAUGACGGGUUAUGAUCUUCUCAUAUAUGUUAUGAUGGUAAUGAUACUAAACCCUAACGGAAGGAUUGUGCCUGAUGUUAUAUGAUGAAAUCAUAAUCUUUCAGUCAGUUUAAUGAAGUUUGGAGCUGGCAUGUCAGUUAACUGCUAGUAGUCUGUUGUUAUUUAUGUAUUUUUGUCAUUUUGUUUUUUCUUUGGGUUACAUCUUCUGACAUCAGACUCGGACUUCUCUUGAACUGAUUUUAAUGUGCGUAUUGUAUGCCGUUUACUUUUCUACAUUGGCUAGAGGUAUAGGGGGAGGGUUGAGAUCUCACAAACAUGUUUAACACCGCGCUUUUUUGCGCCUGUCCCAGUCAGAAGCCUCUGGCUUGUUAGUCUUGUAUUAUUUUUAAUUUUAGUUUCUAGUGUACAAUUUGGAAAUUAGUAUGGCGUUCAUUAUCACUGAACUAGCAUAUAUUUGUUUAGGGGCCAGCUGAAGGACGCUUUCGGGUGCGGAAUUUCUCGCUACAUUGAAGACAUGUUAGUGACUUUGCUGUUGUGUUUUUUUCUAAAGUCGGGUUGGUUGUCUCUUUGGCAUAUUCCCAUUUCCAUUCUUAAUUUUAUAAUAACAAUAACUUCUACUUUUUUCCGCCCUACAGACUUGACGAAGUCUAAUGGCAAUUGGUCACGAAGUCUUGUGGCAAGUGGUCACUUUGUCUAAUGACAAAUGGUCAGUGGAUCUAGUGGCAAAUGGUCACAAAGUCUAAUUGCAAAUGACCAGUGAAUCUAAGUAGACAUGGUAACCAUUUGCCAUUAGAUUCACUGGCAAUUCGCUAUUAGACAUGGUGACCAUUUGCCUUCAGAUUCACGGGUCAUUUGCCAUUGGACAUAGUGAUCAUUUGCCAUUAGACAUAGUGACCAUUCGCCAUUAGAUCCACUGACCAUUUGCCAUUAGGUCCACUGAUCAUUUGCCACAAGACUUGGUGACCAAUUGCCAUUAGACAUAGUGACCAUUUGCCAUUAGGUCCACUGACCAUUUGCCAUUAGACAUAGUGGCCAUUUGCCAUUAGAUUCACUGACAAUUUGCCAUCCAACAUAGUGAUCAUUUUCCAUUAGAUUUACUGACCAAUUGCCAUUAGACAUGGUGACUAUUUGCCAUUAGAUUCACUGACCAUUUGCAAUUAGAUUCACUGGUCAUUUACCAUUAGACAUAGUGACCAUUUGCCAUUAGAUGCUCUGGCAAUUCGCCAUUAGACAUGGUGACCAUUUGCCGUCAGAUUCACGGGCCAUUUGCCAUUGGACAUAGUGACCAUUUGCCAUUAGACAUAGUGACCAUUCGCCAUUAGAUCCACUGACCAUUUGCCAUUAGGUCCACUACAUGUAACCAUUUGUCACAAGACUUGGUGACCAAUUGCCAUUAGACAUAGUGACAAUUUGCCAUUAGAUUCACUGGCAAUUCGCCAUUAGACAUGGUGACCAUUUGCCAUUGGACAUAGUGACCAUUUGCCAUUGGACAUAGUGACCAUUUGCCAUUAGACAUAGUGACCAUUCGCCAUUAGAUUCACUGGCCAAAAAAGCAAAAGUGUCGGACAAAAAGCAAAAUAAUCGGACAAAAAGCAAAAUAAUCGGACAAAAAGCAAAAGUGUCGGACAAAAAACAAAAUAAUCGGACAAAAAGCAAAACGGACAAAAAGCAAAAGUGUCGGACAAAAAGCAAAAUUAUCGGACAAAUAGCAAAAGCGGACAAAAAGCACCGUAUCACGCGUAUUCAUUGAUCACAAUUUUGCAUUUAAUUGGCCAGACGCUUAUAAUAUUUCACUGAUUUAACACACUCAAAAUGUGCCUUUUAAAUUUUGUCUUAAUUUCCAGGGUUAACUGGCAUUGUUUUCAUAUAAGAAUAUAACAUUGAUAAAAAAAAAUAUGGAAAUAUGCGACGGUAUAAUUGCCAAACUCGGAGGCAACUAUCCAAUAGGGCUCAAAUGACUGGCAACCGUAUAACCGCAUUUUAUUCUGUUAAGAAUUUAAAAGCUGCUUAAAUGGACUACGCUCUUUUUUUUAUUUCGCUAAAUUGGCAAAAUUUAAUAUCAUACAAACGCCUUAUCUAUUCUCUGACAAUCUCUUAAAAUCUUAUAUACUGCAGCUGUGCUAUUUGAGCAGUCAAAUUGCAUUGACUGUAUAUUUUUAUUUUUGUUGAUUACUACAAGUCCCCCCCAACUGGGGACGUAUAUCACCUUGUUUAUGACGUUGACAUGGGUGGGGGGGGGGGGGGGGGGGGGGGGGGGUUGGGGGGGGGGGGGGGGGGGGGGGGGGGAGCGUCCAGAAGAGUUCUAUGUUAUGACGUCAAUAAAACAUACAGGUUCGCUGCAAUUUUACGUUGUCCGCUCACAAUUAAAAAAUGACGGUUUUUACCCUAAAUACUUCAUUUUGAACAGUUAUAAGAGUUGCAGUAUAUAAAGAAUAACCAUACAUUGUCUCGAAAUAUCAAUCUGUUAUUUGUACUCGGCUCGAAACAGGUAGAAAUACUCGACACACCUCGCUUUCUACCUGUUUCUAAGCCUUGUACAAAUAACAUUGAUAUUUCGAGACAAUGUAUGGUUAUUCUAUAUAUGUCGUAUUGGAGCACACCUACUGAUGUAGGAUAUCUGUGAAAAAAUAUAUAAGUAAUAUAGUCCCAGAGGAUAUCAAAUAUACAUAUAGUCUCGAUAAACACUUAUAUCCUCAACAACGGUACGUUUGACUCUAAUUAAAAUAAAUACGCAUAUAUAUGUACGGUAAAUAUUAGCAGCUUGGGUAUUACAUCUAUGGUGCAAGGAAGUAUUCAAAUGUUCAUUAAAGUAGCUUGCGUCAUAGUUUUUUCGCAUCAUAUGUAACAUAUCUCUAUAGCAACUUAAAGAUGCUAAUGCUUAUUUAACAGGUCAAAUAAUUAAGCUAUUGCGCAUGUAUAUGACAGGUGGCCAUAGAAAGAACAGAUGUAUUCCGAAUAACAUCCGGUGUUCCGAAAGACUACGGACAUCGUCCAAUAUAUACUGCGUAAACCCUCAGGGGUUUACGCAAUAAGGACUAAUCAGCGUGGUAGAUUACUCUGACGCAGCCGAUGAUCGAUCCUAUCUUCUCCAUUUGAACUGAACAAUGAA
rnacentral:lncRNA from 1 species